GGGGGGGGGGGGGGGGGGGGGGGGGGGGGGGGGGGGGGGGGGGGGGGGGGGGGGGGGGGGGGGGGGGGGGGGGGGGGGGGGGGGGGGGGGGGGGGUUGGGGGUCCUGGGUUCAUUUUUGGGAUCCCUGACCCCCUCUCCCUGCCCCUCCCCCAGCUCCACGCCCCGGUGAGUGACAGCGACGAGGAGGCGGAGCCCUGAGGCCACGCCCACCAGGGGCACACCCAGGGGUGGAGCCUGUGCAAGCCACACCCCUCCUGUGAUGUCAACGGACCCAGCGUGACCAAGGCCACGCCCAGAGCAGUUAAACCACGCCCACCUCAUUACCAGGGCUGACCACGCCCACGGGCGGGGCCUAACCCAACCAGAGUGCCUGCACCCCUCCCAGUGUGGGCGGAGCCUGCGAGAGCCCCGCCCCAUUUUAUUGAAAAACCCAAAGCUGUUCACAGGAGGCUCCGCCCACAAACGAAGCCACUCCCACGGUGGGUGGGGCCCGGUAACGCCCCACCCCCUUUCCUUUUACGGUCAAUAAAGGACGCGCAGCGCCAGCUGUGGGCGGGGCCGGCUGUCGCUCAGUGAGGUGCGCCAGGUGACGGGGGGCGUGGCCCGGCGGGGGCGUGGCCCGGCGGGGGCGUGGCCUCACCACUUGCCCCGCUUGCUCCAGUCCUUGGGGGUGAAGUGCAGGCACUUGGCGUCGAUGCGCAGGAGCCGCUUCAGCAUCGCCCGCUCGUGGCCCUCCACGAUGUCCUCGGAGAGCGUCAGGAUGUACUGGCCCUGCGCGGGGGGACAGGUGUGUACGGGUGAGACAGGUGUACAGGAGUGUACAGGUGUGUACAGGUGUGUCAGGAUGUACUGGCCCUGCGCGGGGGGACAGGUGUGUACGGGUGAGACAGGUGUACAGGAGUGUACAGGUGUGUACAGGUGUGUCAGGAUGUACUGGCCCUGCGCGGGGGGACAGGUGUGUACGGGUGAGACAGGUGUACAGGAGUGUACAGGUGUGUACAGGUGUGUCAGGAUGUACUGGCCCUGCGCGGGGGGACAGGUGUGUACGGGUGAGACAGGUGUACAGGAGUGUACAGGUGUGUACAGGUGUGUCAGGAUGUACUGGCCCUGCGCGGGGGGACAGGUGUGUACGGGUGAGACAGGUGUACAGGAGUGUACAGGUGUGUACAGGUGUGUCAGGAUGUACUGGCCCUGCGCGGGGGGACAGGUGUGUACGGGUGAGACAGGUGUACAGGAGUGUACAGGUGUGUACAGGUGUGUCAGGAUGUACUGGCCCUGCGCGGGGGGACAGGUGUGUACGGGUGAGACAGGUGUACAGGAGUGUACAGGUGUGUACAGGUGUGUCAGGAUGUACUGGCCCUGCGCGGGGGGACAGGUGUGUACGGGUGAGACAGGUGUACAGGAGUGUACAGGUGUGUACAGGUGUGUCAGGAUGUACUGGCCCUGCGCGGGGGGACAGGUGUGUACGGGUGAGACAGGUGUACAGGAGUGUACAGGUGUGUACAGGUGUGUCAGGAUGUACUGGCCCUGCGCGGGGGGACAGGUGUGUACGGGUGAGACAGGUGUACAGGUGUGUACGGGUGAGACAGGUGUACAGGUGUGUACAGGUGUGUACUGACCCUGUGCAGGUGGGAACAGGUGAGACAGACGUGCAGGUGGGACAGCUGUGUACAGGUGUGUACUGAGCCUGUAAAAGUGUGCACAGGUGCACUGUGCCCAUACAGGUGUGCACAGUUGUGUCAGGGUGUACUGGCCCUGUACAGGUGUGCACAGGUGAGGAAAAAAUUCGUGUGUGGGACCCAGAUGUCUAAAUGAGGAUGCACAAAAAUAUUUCACCGGCCCCCCCCAGGUGUGCGGGCCCCCCCAGGUGUGCGGGCCCCCAGGAAAAAAUUCGUGUGUGGGACCCAGAUGUCUAAAUGAGGAUGCACAAAAAUAUUUCACCGGCCCCCCCCAGGUGUGCGGGCCCCCCCAGGUGUGCGGGGCGCACCUUGUAGUAGUUGAUGAGGUUCAGGUACUGCAGCGUGGAGAUCACGUCCUCCUUCUUGAUACUGGUGAU
rnacentral:lncRNA from 12 species